GGUUCUUAAUUCGCCUAAGAAAAGGUGGUUCUCAAUCGCUGGAAUAGAAACGUACGGCGUUCAGAUCUACGGGAGUUUCACACGCGUUUAUGGCCUGUGUGACCGCCUUGACCAGCCGAAGCCGCCGCGCCGCCGACUGCGGCUGUAGGCUGCGCAUACGUGACAUCCCCCCGGCGAUCAGCCUCGAUCCGCGCUGCACACGCCGGCCGGCCGGCUCGCCAUCCCCACUGAAGAAGCUGUACUGAUUAAUCAUUCAAUCAAGGCAAGCUAAUGUACCAAUUUUUCGCAAAAUCCAUGGCGUAAUAUGCCUGAAAUAGUUGAUCUGAACAAGCUUACUCAGGAUCCAUCGAAAAGGAAGAUACUUACAGAUUUUAGUGUCAAAUAGCAUGAGGAGAUUUGGAAAAAUCGUCGCUGGAUGAAACGGAAGGAGGCUAAAAAGGAACGUAGGAACAAAAGAAAUCGACAUAUUCAAGUUUCACAAUUUAUUCUUUCGUAAGUGGUGGUUUACUUUUACUUUUGGCAAUCAACUUGUCAUAAUUAUGUGUGUGCUGACAUUAUCUUAUAAAGAAAUAUAUGAUUUUGAUUCUUAUGGACUAUAUGUAUGCUUGUGCGCUUGAUUUUUAAAAGAUUUAGGCACUAGUUUGUA